rnacentral:rRNA from 1 species
AUGGCGUCGCAAUCGCAGGCAGGAGGCGGCGGUGGCGGCGGCUAUGCUGGCCCGGGGCAGCGCGGGCAGGCGCAGGGCCUGGCGAGGCAAGGUUCCCUGUACAGCCUUACCCUCGAUGAGGUGCAGAGCCAGCUGACAGAGCCUUUGCUUAGUAUGAACCUCGACGAGCUGCUCAAGAGCGUGUUUCCGGACGGCGUGGAUCCUGUCGGUGGCGUCGCUGGCCAGUCUGAGCCGGCCCCGGGCCUGCAUCGCCAGGGGAGCAUCACAAUGCCUCCUGAGCUGAGCAAGAAGACGGUGGACGAGGUGUGGAAGGGCAUCCAAGAUUCGCCGAAGAGAAGUGGUGAGGAGGGUAUUCGGCGGAGGCGGGAGAGGCAGCCGACCUUUGGGGAGAUGACACUUGAGGAUUUCCUGGUGAAAGCUGGAGUUGUCGCUGAAGGGCAUUUGAAGGAUCCAAUUGACUUGCCAGCUAACAUGGGUGCGGUUGGGAGCAGUGUAACGGCCGCUGCGCCCAGUUUGAACCCCGGAGCGCAUUGGUUACAGCAGUACCUGGAGCCCCAGCAUCCAAGCAUGGCAGGCCCUUUCAUGGCAAGUCAUUUGGGUCCUCAGCCAUUGUCUGUUGCUACAGGUGCUAUCAUGGAACCAAUUUACCCGGAUGGCCAGAUUACGUCACCAAUGCUCGAUGCACUUUCUGAUCCUCAGACACCUAGGCGCAAGCGUGGUGCAUCAGAUGGUGUAACUGAUAAAGUUGUAGAAAGAAGGCAGAAGAGAAUGAUAAAAAACAGGGAAUCAGCUGCACGCUCCAGAGCGAGGAAGCAGGCUUACACUAAUGAGCUUGAAAACAAGGUGUCUCGUCUAGAAGAGGAGAACGAGAGGUUGAAGAAGCAGAAGGAGUUGGACAUGAUGAUAACCUCCGCGCCUCCCCCAGAACCCAAGUAUCAACUCCGGAGAACAAGUUCUGCCCCUGUUUGA